rnacentral:rRNA from 1 species
CUUAGUGGCGGACGGGUGAGUAACGCGUGGGUAACCUGCCUUACACUGGGGGAUAACACUUAGAAAUAGGUGCUAAUACCGCAUAAGCGCACGAAGCCGCAUGGAUUUGUGUGAAAAACUCCGGUGGUGUAAGAUGGACCCGCGUCUGAUUAGCUUGUUGGCGGGGUAACGGCCCACCAAGGCGACGAUCAGUAGCCGGCCUGAGAGGGUGAACGGCCACAUUGGGACUGAGACACGGCCCAAACUCCUACGGGAGGCAGCAG